rnacentral:rRNA from 1 species
UACGGGGGGAGCAAGCGUUGUUCGGAUUUACUGGGCGUAAAGGGCGCGUAGGCGGCCACCGCAAGUCGGUUGUGAAAUCUCCGGGCUUAACCCGGAAAGGUCAACCGAUACUGCGGGGCUAGAGUGCAGAAGGGGCAACUGGAAUUCUCGGUGUAGCAGUGAAAUGCGUAGAUAUCGAGAGGAACACCAAUGGCGAAGGCAGCUCGCUGGGACGGUACUGACGCUGAGGCGCGAAAGCGUGGGGAGCAAACAGG